UACGUAGGUGGCAAGCGUUAUCCGGAAUUAUUGGGCGUAAAGCGCGCGUAGGCGGUUUUCUAAGUCUGAUGUGAAAGCCCACGGCUCAACCGUGGAGGGUCAUUGGAGACUGGAAAACUUGAGUGCAGAAGAGGAAAGUGGAAUUCCAUGUGUAGCGGUGAAAUGCGCAGAGAUAUGGAGGAACACCAGUGGCGAAGGCGACUUUCUGGUCUGUAACUGACGCUGAUGUGCGAAAGCGUGGGGA
rnacentral:rRNA from 1 species